AUAGAACAGCCCUGUGAGGGAGCAUGGCAAUGGAUUUAUGGGGGGUUCUGAUCAGUGGCCCCUCCAUAGUGUACCCCAUGCAAAAGUGAGGUGCCAUUCUGAACCAUUGACUGGCCCACUUGCUAUGGGCUAGAUCUCUGAAGAGACUGGUACAAAUGCAGGCGCUCAUGUGGGCAACUGGGAGCAGAUCACAUUGUAAAGCGGAGCCCUGUACAGAGCCUGUUAUAGUUCCUUCCUAUUACACUACUUCGGAUGCAGUUAUAUCUUCAGAAGUGGUUUUCAUUGUGGAGAUAUCCCUGUCCUGUACUAAUGGUGCACAGAAUGUUGCUCUUUACGCUGAUGUGAAUGGGAAACAGUUCCCUGUGACCAGAGGACAGGAUGUUGGGCGCUACCAGGUCUCAUGGAGCCUGGAGCACAAAAAUGCUCAUUCUGGAACAUACGAGGUGAAGUUUUUCGAUGAGGAGUCCUACAGUCUGCUAAGAAAGGCACAGAGAAACAAUGAGGAUAUCUCCUCUAUCAAGCCUCUCUUCACUGUCAAUGUUGAUCACAGGGGUGCAUGGAAUGGUCCUUGGGUAUCUACAGAAGUGCUGGCAGCAUUGAUAGGCAUAUUGGUAUAUUACACGGCAUAUACUGCAAAGAGCAACAUCCAGGCUUAACCAGAGAAUAGGGUUGGGGAAGGGAAUGAUGGGUGCUGGUGUACAGAUUUGUCUUGUGUGCUUGUAAUAAAAAUUUUAUACAUAA